AGUACAUAUAUAUAUAUAUAUAUAUAUAUAUAUAUACUAAUCUUUUUUUUUUUUUUCGUCUAGAUUUAUUAUUUAUUAUAAAUUAUGAGAACUGUUACAUAGACGAUUCUACAACGGACAAUUCCUUCCGACCCUUAUUAAAUUCACGACAGACGACACCUCCUUCAUGCUCACCUCCUUCACCUCUUUCUUCAUGCUCUUGAUGGACACUUCUCUUUCUGCGUAGAAUCCUGACGAACGGCUAUAAUUGUACAUCGCUGGAGAUCUCCUGCACACUUGCCUCCAAUAAUCUGCAAAUUUAUUAAUAAAUCGCAUUAUCUGGGACUCGAACCCCAGACCUCUAGGUGUAGAAGCAUUAAUUAACCCUUGGUCAACCAAUGGACCAAGG
rnacentral:lncRNA from 1 species